rnacentral:lncRNA from 1 species
AAAACUUCCACCAAAGAAAUCCUUCUCUCCCAUUUAUAAACCCCUUCCUCCUAUCCCUAAACUUCCUCCAAAGAAAUCCUUCCCUCCAAUUUACAAACCUAUUCCACCUAUUCCAAAGUUUCCUCCUGUUUACAAAAAGCCAUUGCCUCCACUUCCAAAACUUCCUCCAAAGAAAUCCUUCCCUCCAAUUUAUAAACCUAUUCCACCUGUUCCAAAGUUUCCUCCGGUUUACAAGAAGCCAUUGCCACCAAUUCCAGAACUUCCUCCAAAGAAAUCCUUCCCUCCAAUUUACAAACCUAUUCCACCUAUUCCAAAGUUUCCUCCAUUGCCACCAAUUCCAGAACUUCCUCCAAAGAAAUCCUUCCCUUCAAUUUAUAAACCUAUUCCACCUGUUCCAAAGUUUCCUCCAGUUUACAAGAAGCCAUUGCCACCAAUUCCAGACCUUCCUCCAAUGAAAUCCUUCCCUCCAAUUUACAAACCUAUUCCAUCUGUUCCAAAGCUUCCUCCUGUUUACAAGAAGCCAUUGCCACCAAUUCCAGAACUUCCUCCAAAGAAAUCCUUCCCUCCAUUCUAUAAACCCAUUCCUCCACUACCACCCUUCCCUCCCAUUUACAAGAAGCCCUUUUCCACCUUUUCCUUUCCCUAAGCUCACUUUUCCAAAGUUCCCUCC